rnacentral:ncRNA from 1 species
GAUUCCGCAAUGCCGCCAUGAUCUUCGCCAGCUUCCGCCAAUGUUUCGGACUGCUUCAGCCAUAUAUCAGUUUCGAUAUAGCAACCAUCAGAGAUCGCAUUUGACAGUUAUGUCAAAGGGACACACCCUCCGCGCGUCCCGAGACGUGUCGGUCGAUGACGAGAAAAAUCGUAUCGAUUGAAACAAGCGUACCGGGGCCGAUUGGGAGGAUACCGGAGAUCGAUAGACGACAGCGGCGCUUGCGCUUCUGCUCGACUGCGCGGCCCGCGAAGCCCCGAGGUGUCGCGUCCAUCAACCAGGGAGAGUUAC